UACGUAGGUGGCAAGCGUUAUCCGGAAUUAUUGGGCGUAAAGAGCGCGCAGGUGGUUGAUUAAGUCUGAUGUGAAAGCCCACGGCUUAACCGCGGAGGGUCAUUGGAAACUGGUCGACUUGAGUGCAGAAGAGGGAAGUGGAAUUCCAUGUGUAGCGGUGAAAUGCGUAGAGAUAUGGAGGAACACCAGUGGCGAAGGCGGCUUCCUGGUCUGUAACUGACACUGAGGCGCGAAAGCGUGGGGAGCAAACAGGAUUAGAUACCCGU
rnacentral:rRNA from 1 species